UACAUGGGGUGCAAACGUUGCUCGGAAUUACUGGGCGUAAAGCGCACGUAGGCGGCUUUGUAAGUUAGAGGUGAAAGCCUGGGGCUCAACCCCAGAAUUGCCUUUAAGACUGCAUCGCUUGAAUCCAGGAGAGGUGAGUGGAAUUCCGAGUGUAGAGGUGAAAUUCGUAGAUAUUCGGAAGAACACCAGUGGCGAAGGCGGCUCACUGGACUGGUAUUGACGCUGAGGUGCGAAAGCGUGGGGAGCAAACAGG
rnacentral:rRNA from 1 species